GGUAGCACAGAGAGCUUGCUCUCGGGUGACGAGCGGCGGACGGGUGAGUAAUGUCUGGGAAACUGCCUGAUGGAGGGGGAUAACUACUGGAAACGGUAGCUAAUACCGCAUAAUGUCGCAAGACCAAAGUGGGGGACCUUCGGGCCUCAUGCCAUCAGAUGUGCCCAGAUGGGAUUAGCUAGUAGGUGGGGUAACGGCUCACCUAGGCGACGAUCCCUAGCUGGUCUGAGAGGAUGACCAGCCACACUGGAACUGAGACACGGUCCAGACUCCUACGGGAGGCAGCAGUGGGGAAUAUUGCACAAUGGGGGCAAGCCUGAUGCAGCCAUGCCGCGUGUGUGAAGAAGGCCUUCGGGUUGCCCCCCCACUUUCAGCCGGGAGGAAGGCGAUAAGGUUCUAUACCCCUGGUCGGAUUGUACGUUACCCAAAAGAAGAAGCAGGGGGCCUCCCCAAGGUUCU
rnacentral:rRNA from 1 species